ACACCAAAGCUCGACUUCACUGUCAUGAUCGUGUGCAGGAUUGGACAAAACAAGAUGGCAGACGGCAUUUCCAAACAAAGGUAUCAAACCCUAGAACGUCAUUCCAUGAGAUGGGUACACUUCGAAUGUGCGAAAUUUGUGGUGAGGAAUUCAAGACCAAUUCUGAAUUGAGUAGGCAUGUAAAAAGGAAACAUCAAUUAGAGAAAUUGUCUUCGUUCGUGACCAGUGCAACACACGCUUUUGUACAUUAUAAAAGAAACAUGAAGUAAAAAUUUUUACAUUGUUUCCUGAAUACACGAGGUGCAUACAUAUACCAUGGCAGCCGUUUUAUAUAUCCGUUUAUGUACAUUUUGAAACGAUUAUUUUUACGGUAUUAUGCUUUGUUUUAAAGAGAUACUACUAAUCUUUUACAUUGCAUUUUACACAUGUUGAUUUGUCAUUUCAUUGAACCAGAAGUGUUCUUAAGUUUUACGUGUUAUUAAAUAUAUUUCAAUGU